UUUCCGUAGGUGAACCUGCGGAAGGAUCAUUAUCGAGUUCCUGCCCUCCGGGGUAGAUCUCCCACCCUUGCUUAUUAUACCAUGUUGCCUUGGCAGGCCGUCCCUCCUGGGCCACUGGCACUCGCUGGUGUGUGCCUGCCAUAGGACCACAAAAUCUGUAUCACUGGUGUCGUCAGAGUAAAAUGUAAUAUUUUAAAACUUUCAACAACGGAUCUCUUGGUUCUGGCAUCGAUGAAGAACGCAGC
rnacentral:misc_RNA from 1 species